UGAUCAGUUUCACAGAUGGGAAGAAUGUGAGAUAAAGCGAGGACCCUGGGAGAGGGGCUGAGAAGGCAAGCCUGUCCCCUGGCUGCAGAUGCAACAUGGGUGUUUUUUUGCAGGGAAUGAAACUCAGGUCCUGGCAGAUCCUGGGCAACUGGAUUCAGGACAUUUGUCAGCUGCACAGUCUGUUCUUAAACACCCACAACCUUCCAGGCUGUGUUCUCUUGCUCAGACUCUAAGUGGGGCACCAUUUCCCCAAGAGCCAUCAGCAUCCCCAACAGGAGAUGAUGAACACAGUCCCUCUGAAACUCAUCCGUGUUGCCCUUUGUCUUCUCCUUUCCAUAUAUCUGGAGUGAUGGACUUUAUGGCCACUUCUUCGGGGGAUACAGAAUUAUAGAUCUCUGGAUUUAUGUCUGUUUGCUGGGUCCCCUCUGGUCCUGGCAUCAUAAGGAUCCCUGGCUUCAGUGGCAAGCAGGGAGGAGUUUAGGGGACACCAGCAGUCAUCGCAUGAGAGCCUUCAAGUUCCUGCUGGAAGAGGUCCAAAUGGAGAACAGAGGCCUCCUGCCAACUGCUCCAGAGUCACAAGAGCUGGCGACCUCUACAAGCUGAUCCCUGCCUGCCCUUCCCCUACACCCCCACCCAGACUUCAGAUGACUGCAAACCAGGCGCGCAGCUUUACUACAACAGAAAGAACGGCUUUGUGUGGAUGUCCCCAGUCUAGCUGCUCCCGAAUUCCUACUCCCCAGAAGCUGUGAGCAAUAGUAAAUGUUCUUGUUUUAAGUCACUAGAUUUUGGGUUCACUUGUUUUGUAGCAAUAGAUAACUAAUAAGAAAGAAAAAAAUAAAGUGAAGAUGCUCUGGCA